rnacentral:rRNA from 1 species
UGCCAGCCGCCGCGGUAAUACGGAGGGUGCAAGCGUUGUCCGGAUUUAUUGGGUUUAAAGGGUGCGUAGGCGGCUCUUUAAGUCAGUGGUGAAAGCCCGCAGCUUAACUGCGGAACUGCCAUCGAUACUGGAGAGCUUGAGUACGGUUGAAGUAGGCGGAAUUUAUGGUGUAGCGGUGAAAUGCAUAGAUACCAUAAAGAACACCGAUAGCGUAGGCAGCUUACUAAGCCGUAACUGACGCUGAGGCACGAAAGCAUGGGGAGCGAACAGGAUUAGAUA